rnacentral:rRNA from 1 species
CACGGGGGGAGCAAGCGUUGUUCGGAAUCACUGGGCGUAAAGGGCGUGUAGGCGGUCAGGUAAGUGAGAUGUGAAAUGCCCCGGCUCACCCGGGGACCGGCAUCUCAUACUGCUUGGCUUGAGUACGGGAGAGGAUGUGGGAAUUCCUGGUGUAGCGGUGAAAUGCGUAGAUAUCAGGAGGAACACCGGUGGUGUAAACGGCUUUCUGGACCAUAACUGACGCUGAGGCACGAAAGCGUGGGUAGCAAACAGG